AGUUCAGAACUUGAGUUUAGUAUAUGCCAAACACCAGCAGGGGCAAACGACCUGCUCGGCCAGUGGCUAAAUAUAUCCGCGCGCAUAUUUCCGACUAAAAUUAGCGAUUCAUUCAGAAAACACAUGUUUAAUAUUCAAAAAGGCAUAACAAUGACAACAAACUAAAAGAAAAAUGCAUUCCCCAAAGGGAAAAAAAACAGCGACACACAUACGCACGACUAACACGAUAGAAACCAUUGAAAAGAGGACAAAGAAGAUUUGAAAUGUUAGAGCUACGACGGAUGUACGGCUAUCUACUCCUGCUGCACCGCCGACUCCUCCAGAUUGCAGAAGACAUUGCGCAUCUUGUCCAGGUCGGGCGGCGCGGUGUCCGGGUUCCGGAUCCACAUGAUGUAGGCCUGUUUGUCGGUCCGGGUCAGCGGCUUGAAGUUUCGCGGAUUCUGCGCCUCCUCGUCCUGCAGCUUAGAGUUGUAGCGCGCGUAAAGGAAGAUCCGGUAUCGCCAGUUGUCGAAGGUCUGCUUCCACUCGGUCACGUGCUUCACGGCACCCUGCGGCACGGCGUUCAGCAGGUUGGCCAGCUUCAGCCAGUAUGGGUCCAGCGCAGGAUCAUUGCGACGGUGAUCGUUGAUGAACUGGUGCUGCUGCAGGAAGUGUACGUACAGUUCCUUCUGCCGCUUGGACAUGCGCUCCUUGCGCUCUGCGGACGAGAAACAGAUGAACACCAUUAACUCAUUAACACCAUUGUUCCGUAAUCGGCUAAAUAAUUUUAAAAUUUAUUAAUUAAUGCAAAUUAAUACACCUGAUAACAUUGGAAUGCGCUCAAUUGGUGUGCGCUUUGUUUAUGAACAUCGCGAAUGCAGCCCUAAUGGAAAACGGCAAUUAUAUUAUUU
ensembl:ncRNA asRNA:CR45686 antisense RNA:CR45686